UGCAGUGGAAACUCCCCAGGAGUUUGGAUGCUUCAUCUCUGCUGAGACCCAGUGCCUGGCACUGAAGGUGCUCAGGAAAUACCUUCUGAAUGAUCGGAAGCCCCUGCCAUCUGCUAAACUGGAUCUAUGAUGACAGAAGCCGAGGAAUGUGAGGUUCAUCUAGAGAGUUCUUGUGAAUUUUCCAAGGGAGGCACCUGUUGAAUUCAGGCAUCGGCAUGUGACUUGAUUUGGUCAAUGAAAUGUGAGAGAAGUGACAUCCACUUUGAGGCAGGCACUUUCCGAGUGAGUAUGUACUUCCCCAUGUUCCCCAGUGUGGUUGCUUAGCCCAGAAUGAGAUAACAGCAACAUAGAGCAUGACCUGUAAUUGCCGUGAAGAUGAGAGAGAAACAGACCUGGAAAUGAGCCACUGCACCCAGUCAAGAAUAGACUGUAAAUGUUUCUUAUCAGAUUUAAAGAGUCUUCUAUCAGUAAUUCCAAAAGGGAGGAGGGUAUAAUGAGGCAUGUCCAGCUCUCUGUUCCCAUCAUGUCCUGAAUUCAUUUUUCAGGUUAACUUUGGAAUGCCCUUGGCCAACAGGAGGGGUCCAUUCAGAUGGCUGGGGGAACUUAGAAUUUUAUUUUUGGUUUAUACAGUCCAUCUGCAUUCUCAAAGCUCCAGGAGGCAGGAGCCAUGGUGGGUCCAGGGGAAGGCAACUGACACUCCAAAACUCCCUUCUCACUGCUGCUUCAAUGCCAGCUUCACAGAAAGAUAUAUGAUGGUUCUAUUUAUUUAGUUAUCACAAAUGUCACUAUUAUCACAGAAGACAUUAAUUUUUAAAAGAAAAGGAAGAAAAUAUGUCACAUUUCUGUUUUGUGCAUAUGCUGAUUGAAUGAAAAGUUUAUAUCAGAUGCCAACUUAAAAUAAGGACAUAUAAAUAUUUAAUUGUUUAUAUGUAUGUAUACAUUGCUGUAUAGACAAUAUUUAUCUAUACAGUUAUAGAGCACUGAUUCUCAGCUGAGGGGUGAUUUUUACUUUCCAGGGAGACAUUUGGCAAUAUCAGGAGACAUUUUUGGUUGUCCCAGCUGAGGGCUUGGGGGUACUCCUGGCAUCCAGUGGGUAGAGGCCUGGGAUGCUGCUAAGCAUCCUUCAGUGUACAGGGCAGUCCAUAUUAUCUGAACUGUGCUGAGGUUGGGAGAGCCUGGCCUGGAUGUACAUCUAAAGCCAGGAGUUCUGGGGCUGUUUUGUGUGAAGCCAUGAGUGCUGGCAUCAUUCUUCAGAGCAUCAUUGACACACAUCUGCUUGAUUCAUUUCACGUCCCCACCUUGGCUGACUCAUCUAGAAGAAACCACAAGUCACAGAUCAGCGAGGGGCCAGCCCUCACGGUCCUUACAAGACAGCCUCGAUGGCACUGGGGUUCCCCUGGGAACACACAUGGUCAAGCAUAGCUGCCUUGCUCAGCUCUCAGGAUGACAACUAUUUACACCUAGUGUGCUUUAUAGCACACCUGGGAUGGGAGUUGCAACGGCGGAAAGGUAACGGUGUGGGAGGAAGGGAGUGAGAAGGGGAACCGGAGAAGGGAGGGCCAGUCAUGUUAGUUUUAUGAAGAUAUGACAAUUAGCGCAUCAUUUAAAACAUUGCUCAUAAGGAUUGCUUAUGCACAAUUUGUCUAUAUAUGAAGAUAUUGAGAUAUGUGAUUUUAUAGCUACAGCUAUAUGUAAUAUAUGUGUGUGUGUGUGUGUAUACACACAUUAGUAAUGAGGUGAAACAUUUACUGUCCUAACAGCUGGAACUAACAUUCCACAUGGAAUGGGAACUGACUUUGAGACACUUUCUGGAUAAGUCACUGGACUGGAGAGAGAAACUUGGAGGGCAAAUGCCCCAGCUGGACUCCCAGAGAAUAAGCUAGCUUGUUGCUGAAGAUGGAAACCUUCUCACUUUUGCUCCUGAGAGGGGAGAUUAGAAAAAAAAAUAGAAAGGAAACAAAAAACAGAGAAAAAGAAGGAGGAAGACAGAGUAGCCAGAAAGAUGAUGAGAUGCUAGGAUGCUUUAUGGGUGGCAGAGCCCGUGAGAAAUGUGUGGUGGGUUUUGGGGACGGGGUGAAGUGGGAAGGCCUUUAGGAAGCAGACUGUGGUGCUACUUUGCCACUUUUCUAAGUGGGAGAGAAAAAAAGAAUGAGAGUGUGGCCCUAGAACAUUUGUCAUGCAGUGUGCUCAGAGCUAUAUUAGGAUGUCUUUCCUGUCCUGUCUGAUGCUCUAUGUGGCAGGUUUGAGCUGCCCAGGGAAGAGACUCAGCCUCCAGGGCCCUCUCUUCCCCUGUGCCCUGCUCCAUACCUCCAUGUGGUGCAUGAGGGAGGGCCCAGGAGGCUGAGGCCAUGCUGGGGCCCUAAGCUCUGGCCUAACCAAGUGAAGUCUCAGGGGAGACCUUGAACCAUAAGGCAGGGUUUAGUGUUUCCAGCCACACGGAUCUAGAUGUUAAGGAAGCUAGGGAGCUCCAGCUGACAGGUGGGGAACCAGACUUACUCCACCAAACGAUUAGACCAGAUGCCAACUCAUUUCCAGAUCUCAUUGCCAAAGAUACUAGAAAAGCCCUUAGGUAAAACAAAGCGAGGAAUUGGAGGCAGACACAAAUCCACCAAGUGGAGAAUCCACACACUUGCAGCAAUGACACUAAUGCUUUGAAGGAGGCAAAUUUCUCAGACUUGUCACAUAUUUAUUUGCAGUUUCAGUCUCUAGAGAUUCCAGAGUCUGGGAUCUGGACUGGGGUGAAGGGAGGCAUGGUUUUGCCACAGCCUGCCCUGUACUGCUGAAUUCUCCUGCGCGUGCUCAAGUGCUUGCAAAUGAAAGGUCAUCUGGGCCUUGAUCAGUCGUGUGGCCUGUGGAUGGUGAGCAGCCUGGCAAAGGCAGAGGUCUGUGAGGUGGGGGCAGUGGGGCUCCGUGGGCAGGUUUGCCAUGCCUGAGCACCAGGUCCCUACUCUGACACAGGCACACCACAGAGAUAUUGCAGGUUUGGUUCCAGGCUACCACAAUAAAGCAAAUAUCACAAUAAAACAAGUCACACAAUUUUUUUGGUGUCCCAGUGCAUAUAAAAGUUGUGUCUGCAUGAUACUGUUGUCUAUUAAGUAAGCAAUAGCAUUGUCUAAAAAACAAUGUACAUACCUUAAUUAAAAAUACUUUAUUGAUAAAAAAUGCUAACGAUCAUCAGAAUCUUCAAGUCGUCAUAAACAUUUUGCUGGUGGAGGGUCUUCCUUCAGUGUUGAUGGCUGCUGACUGAUCUGGGUGGUGGUUACUGAAGAUUGGGAUGACAGUGGCAAUUUCUUAAAGGACAAAAACAAUGAAGUUUGUUGCAUCAAUUGACUCUUCCUUUCAAAAAAGAUUUCUCUGUAGCUUUUGACAACAUUUUAUCCACAGCAGAACUUCUUUCAAAAUUGGAGUCAAUCCUCUUAAUCCCUGCUCCCGCUUUAUCAACUAAGUUUGAUAUUCUAAAUACUUUGUUGUCAUUUGAACGAUGUUCAUAGCACCAGUAGAUUCCACCUCAAGAAACCACUUUCUUUGCAUAUCUGUCAGAAGCAACUCCUCAUCUGCUGAAGCUUUAUCAUAAAAUUGCAAUGAUUCAAUGUCAUCUUUAGGCUCCACUUGUCAUUUUAUGUCUCUGCCACUUCUGCAGUUACUUCCUGCACUGAAGUCUGAAGCCCUCAAAGUCAUCCAUGAGAGUUGGAAUCCACUUCUUCCAAACUCCUGUUAAUGUUGCUAUUUUGACCACGUUCUAUGAAUCACAAGUGUUCUUAUGGCAUCUAGAAGGGGAAAUCCUUUCCAGGAAGAUUUCAAUUUAUUUUUCCUAGAUCCUUCCAAGGAAUCACUAUCUAUGACUGCUAAAACUUUUAAAAAAUUAUUUCUUAAAUAAUAAGACUUGAAAGUUGAAAUUACUCUUUGAGCUAAGGGCUGAGAUUGGAUGUUGUGUUAGCAGGCAUGAAAACAACAUCAAUUGUACAUCUCUUUAUACAUCUCCAUCAGAGUUUUUGGGUGACCAGGUCCAUUGGCAAUGAACAGUCAUAUUUUGGAUGCCAUCAAGCUGAGAUGUGAAGCGGAAGUGAGGCAGAGGCUCCCUUCCUUUUGUUUGGCGCAGUUUUCUGUGAGAGAGCAGAGGUGGGAGAUGAGGGGACCUCUGCCCCAGUGUUUCUGCAUCCAAGCUCCAGCCUUGUUGAAGGUGAGAAAAGCAGCUGUGAUGGUUUUAUGACCCUAGUCCCUGGCUUCUGAUCCCUGGACCACAGCUAAGGGGCUGUGUUCUUGAAUAGAUAGUGGUGAUCUCCCAAUUCUCCCCGUCCUGGCUGUGUCACAGGGAGCAACUCUCUCAGUGGGUUGGUUCUGUGGUGUUUGGAGAGACAUUCCUGGAAGCCCAGGCAAGAGUCUGCUGCUCCAGUCCUUCCAGUGCUUUUGAAAAAAAAAAAAAAAAGGAAAGAAAGAAAAGAAAAGAAAAGAGCUACACUGGUUUCUAUCUCCCACUAACUGACACAGGACUUUAUAAAGACAACCAGAGGAGUUGUUAAGAACCAUUGAACUAAUACCCUGGAUUUAGAACAACAGAAAGUUCACAACACACAAACAGCCAUAAAGGAGGUAGAGUGGGUUCCUUUCCCAGUCAGCACUUCCUCCUCUCUGAGAGCUAAGCCUGGAUUCUCAUACACGAGGGGACUGUCCCGACUCCUCUGGGCCCCACCACGUUCCUG
rnacentral:lncRNA from 1 species